UACGUAGGAGACGAGCGUUGUCCGGAAUUACUGGGCGUAAAGCGCGUGUAGGCGGAUGAGCAAGUCUGCUGUGAAAGCUCCUGGCUUAACCGGGAGUGGUCGGUGGAAACUGCUCGUCUGGAGGACGGUAGAGGCUGGUGGAAUUCCCGGUGUAGUGGUGAAAUGCGUAGAGAUCGGCAGGAACACCCAGGGGGAAACCAGUGGACUGGGCAUGUGCUGACGCUCAGGUGCGAAAGCGUGGGGAGCGAACCGG
rnacentral:rRNA from 1 species